CCGAGCGCGUUACCGUGACAACCCGCUGCGCCAGGGGGCCUUGCCCCGGAGCCCGCAGGCCUCCUGGCGGCGAGGCCGGGGUUCCCCGUCGUGGGAGGCCCGGUCGGCCCCCUUUGGCUUCUUCAAAGCACUUUGCCCGCCGCCUCUGCCGGGCCCUCCUGCCGUGCUCGCCGCCCUGGGCCGCGCCUCCGCGGGCUCCUGGCCCCGGGCCUCACCUCCCUGCCCGCCCGGGCCCGAGGUCCCACAGCGGUCCCUGGAGGGCGCGGCCUGGAUACCGGAGUUCAGCGGGGGCCCCUCCGCCGCCUCCCCCUCGAGGAGGUCUCAGCGAUCUUCCGUGCAAAGACUCCCGGGAACGCACCUGUAGUGGCCUGAAGCCAGGGAGACCAGUCCUGGGCUGCACCCGUGCAGCAUUAUUCAUAAUACCCAAAAGGUAGAAACAACCCAAGUGCCCAUUGAUGGAUGAAUGGAUCGAGUGUGGUCUCUCCAUGCAGUAGAACAUUAUUCAGCCAUGAAAAGGAAUGAAGUUCUGACACCUGCUGUGUCGUGGCUGAACCUUGAAAACGUGACACUACAGGAAAGAAGCCAGACAGAAAAGGACAAAUAUUGUCUGAUUCGACUUAUAUGUGGCACCGAAAUAGGCAAAGUCAUAAAGACAGAAAUCAGCUGAAAGAGCAUCUACUGAGGGGAGAUGGGACCAGGGCAGAAGAAACCACCACCUCCGGCCUGGAGAGCGCUUGUGCUGCAGGGCAGAAGGGUGUAUGUACACCUUCAGCGUGGCAGACAGGCCAUCAAGACUCACUCCCUUCCAGGGCUCGGCCUGAGCAGCACAGCAGAUUGCAGUAACGCAGGGCCUGGCCUCCAUCUCUGUUCAUUCAUUCCACGGACAGUCUUCCAGGACGUCCUUCAUGCUGCUGGGGACUCUCUCACACAGUGGACACACAGAGGUUUCCCGCUGAUUUUAUUUUAGGUUGAUGUUCAGAACGUUCUUGGUUUUAAGUUUCAAUCUCAUGCACUUUCCUUAAGAUAACUGGCAUCUGGCAUCUACUCCAGCAGUUAUAUUAAGAUCCCUCUAAGAGGGUGUCCGGCUGGGCCAGAAGCGUGGACUUUGAAUGACCUGCGGUUUUCCAAGGCAGGGUUUCACGGUGGCUCACAGAGGGCCCCAGCAAGGAUAGCGACGUCACGGAUGCGGUGGGCCCCUUUGGUGCGGGGUGAGGCACGCUGGGAGGGAGGGUCGCUCAGCAUCCCAGCUCCACCCGUUUCCAGCCUCACCAUUGCCCUGGGUGAGACCCUGGGUGAGAUCGGGGCAACAUCGAUGGUGCUGGGUUGUGGGCAGAGGCCUGCAUGCAACGAGCGUGCCCUCAGAGGUGGCGAUGGCUGUUCCUGUGACCUUGCUGGGCUGUGGGCAGGGCCCAGCCACCCAGGGACAGCCCUGGGCAGGAGGGGAGCCAUCGAGGCACACGGGGAGCAGGGGGCUGUCCCCUGGCUGGGGCUGUGUGUUCCAUGGGUUCUGCCUCUUUUUUGCAUGAUGUUGAGUCUGAAGCUUUGGGGUGUGCGGCCCCUCCUGGGGACAAAGGGGCAGCUCCUGGGGAGGGGCCCUCCUGAAUUGUGUGUGUGUGUGUGUGUGUGUGUGUGUGUGUGUGAAUGAGGAGAGGAGAAAUCUUCCUGUUCACGCAACUGAAAGAGAACAAAAGAACCAAGGAAUGAAGCCCCCAUUGGGAUGUCUUGGGGUCGCAAAGCCCCCUUUCUGGGAAGAUUUUCAUUUCCGGUUGCAUUCUCUGCUCAGCUCGGGGUCAGCCCAGUGCCCCUGGAGGCAGGCUGCGGCGGGAACGCAGGAGCAAGCCCUCAGAGCCGCCUUGGCCUCCUGUCCUGCCGCCUCUCGGCUGCCAGCUGCCAGCCAGUGGGAGCUCAGGCUUCGCCAAGAGGCGCUCCUGGCCCGGCUGACCCCCCGCAGCUGUGUGAGGUGCACACUGUCCUCCGGGACCCUCUCUGGCCCCUUCCCUAGACUCAGCAGUGGGACAGGGAAGCCUCCCUGUGUCUGUGUCUCUGUCCAGCUCUGUGCUGAGUGCCGCCCAAGGGCCAGGUGGUGCUGGGCACACGGGCAGCGUGCAGAGGACCCGGGUGCACCCUCGCACAAGGGAAAUCGCCCCUGACAAGGAUGCCCACAGCAUGGGCGUACCCCUCUCGUCUUACUGCAGGCCCCUCCGAGGUCAGGUGGGUCUGGUGACGUGCCCGACACGCGUGCUGUGUGGCCCUGCCCAGCCCGGUGGCCUGUGCCUGUCCUGUAGCCUCCACGCGGAGCUCAAGUGGAGGCAGGGGAGCGGGGCACCCACCCGCGCACUGGGAAAGCAGCCCCGAUGUGGACAUGCCCUAGUGGCCAGGUCUUCAUCUGAGGAGGAGGUAUUUUUCCGCCAACCCGGAAAGCACACGGAGAGGCACCGCACACCCCUCCUGCGGACCCGCCUCGUGGGCGGCUGCCAUCCCCAGGUGGGGGGGUCGUCUGGGGCCCCGGCCGGAGGCAGCCGGCCCGGCUUGCUGCGCCCUUUCGCGAGGGGGUGCCCCGGAGAGCCGGCUGUGGGAGCUCCGAGCCUGCUUCCAAGAAAUCCGCUGCGUUUCGCCGCAGCGCCGGCUCGUGGGCCCCGGAGCCCCGGCCCCCCUCUGUGCCCUGCACCCCCCUCCCCUCUCUCCGUCCUUUCAUCGCUGCCCCGCGCUCCUAGCACCUGGGUCUGUGAGGGCGCCGCUCCUGCGGCCGCUGCUUGUAGCUGGCUGUGAUGAAAAGCGUCCGUUUUACACUCGCCGGGCCCAGCAGCACUACAGACACACAGAUCCCUUUGUUGCAAAUAAUUAAUUUGACUCCAUAUUGCGUAAUAUGCUAAAAAGCUUUCUGGGGUGAACUCCUGCCGGCCGGACACUGCGAUCUCAUCAGUAUUGCAUUGCACUGGGCCCUACUGUGAUGCAGUUUCAUUAAAAAUUUAA